GACGAACGCUGGCGGCGUGCUUAACACAUGCAAGUCGAACGGAAAGGCCCUGCUUUUGUGGGGUGCUCGAGUGGCGAACGGGUGAGUAACACGUGAGUAACCUGCCCUUGACUUUGGGAUAACUUCAGGAAACUGGGGCUAAUACCGGAUAGGAGCUCCUGCUGCAUGGUGGGGGUUGGAAAGUUUCGGCGGUUGGGGAUGGACUCGCGGCUUAUCAGCUUGUUGGUGGGGUAGUGGCUUACCAAGGCUUUGACGGGUAGCCGGCCUGAGAGGGUGACCGGCCACAUUGGGACUGAGAUACGGCCCAGACUCCUACGGGAGGCAACAGUGGGGAAUAUUGCACAAUGGGCGGAAGCCUGAUGCAGCAACGCCGCGUGCGGGAUGACGGCCCUCGGGUUGUAAACCGCUUUCGCCUGUGACGAAGCGUGAGUGACGGUACUGGGUAAAGAAGCACCGGCUAACUACGUG
rnacentral:rRNA from 1 species